UCUUACCGGGUCCGGACACACUGAGGAUUGACAGGUUAUGGGGCGGGUUGAAUUUCAAUCUCUUCGGGGAUUAAUUUUCUCCCACCUCAAAAAUAUGCUAGUCCUUUCAUGAUUAUGUGAUAGGUGGUGCAUGGCCGUUCUUAGUUCGUGGAGUGAUCUGUCUGCUUAAUUGCGUUUCACUAAAGGCGUCAUUAAUUUUUUGUGCCUGUGUUUGACCCCGCACUUCGGUGCGCGCGCGUCUUUCACACACAAUUACUUUGACGUCUGAAAGCAACGAACGUGACCGUAACCUCUUGUUGCCUUCUCUUCUCUUCGGAGAAUGCUGCUUUGUACCUUCACGGGUGUAUCGCAGUAUACGGAGGCUUAAUACUCAGUAACUAGAGGGACCGCUGUUACUUUCUUUAAACCAGAGGAAGGUUGCGGCAAUAACAGGUCUGUGAUGCCCUUAGAUGUUCCGGGCUGCACACGUGAUACAUUGAUUACUUCAGUGAGUAUCUACGUAUUACUGCGCAGCAGUAUACGCGUGUUGUUUAUUGCUUCGGCAAUUUACUUUGCGCUAUACGCCGCCUUAACCUACUUCGAAAGUAUGUGGGUAACCAAUUAGAAGUAGUGAUUUCCCUCUUUAUAAGCACACUUAUAUGGAGCAUCAUCACCCGGCAUGCCUUGUGCAUGUUUUGUGUGUGUUGUUUGUCUACAUGUGCUUUUGUCAAUUCAUAGUGGGGACAGACCAUUGUUAAUUGUUGGUCUCGGUCUUAACUAGGAAUGCCUUGUACGAGUUUUUGGUUCAACAAACCACUCGGAAUACGUCCCUGCCCUUUGUACACACCGCCCGUCGCUCUUACC
rnacentral:rRNA from 1 species